rnacentral:rRNA from 1 species
UAGGGAAUUUUCGGCAAUGGGGGAAACCCUGACCGAGCAACGCCGCGUGAAGGAAGAAGCAAUUCGUUAUGUAAACUUCUGUCAUAGAGGAAGAACGGUGGAUAUAGGGAAUGAUAUCCAAGUGACGGUACUCUAUAAGAAAGCCACGGCUAACUACGUGCCAGCAGCCGCGGUAAUACGUAGGUGGCGAGCGUUAUCCGGAAUUAUUGGGCGUAAAGAGGGAGCAGGCGGCACUAAGGGUCUGUGGUGAAAGAUCGAAGCUUAACUUCGGUAAGCCAUGGAAACCGUAGAGCUAGAGUGUGUGAGAGGAUCGUGUAAUUCCAUGUGUAGCGGUGAAAUGCGUAGAUAUAUGGAGGAACACCAGUGGCGAAGGCGACGAGCUGGCGCAUAACUGACGCUCAGUCCCGAAAGCGUGGGGAGCAAAUA